UACGUAGGGUGCGAGCGUUAAUCGGAAUUACUGGGCGUAAAGCGUGCGCAGGCGGUUUUGUAAGCCAGAUGUGAAAUCCCCGGGCUUAACCUGGGAAUGGCAUUUGGGACUGCAAGGCUCGAGUGCGGCAGAGGAGACUGGAAUUCCUGGUGUAGCAGUGAAAUGCGUAGAUAUCUGGAGGAACACCGAUGGCGAAGGCAGGUCUCUGGGCUGACACUGACGCUCAUGCACGAAAGCGUGGGGAGCAAACAGG
rnacentral:rRNA from 1 species